rnacentral:misc_RNA from 1 species
UCACCUCUCAAACCCCGUGUUUGUUGUUGGACCCGAGUCCCGCGCGAGCGUGGACUGGUCCCAAAGAUAAUGACGGCGUCCGCGUGGACCCCCGGUGCAACGAGCUUUUCUUUUGAAGCGCGCGUCGAGGGAACCGCGGUACGGCCGGUCGACACCUUUUUCUUUUACAA